rnacentral:rRNA from 1 species
CAUCCGAAAGCGGAAGCAGCUUGCUGCGGAAGAUUUCACCCGGGGUGACUGAGUGGCGGACGGGUGAGUAACGCGUGGGUAACCUGCCCCAUAGAGGGGGACAACAGUUGGAAACGACUGCUAAUACCGCAUAGUAAGGAACUGCCGCAUGACGGUUUCUUGAAAGAUUUAUCGCUAUGGGAUGGACCCGCGUCUGAUUAGCUAGUUGGUAAGGUAACGGCUUACCAAGGCGACGAUCAGUAGCCGGCUUGAGAGAGUGAACGGCCACAUUGGGACUGAGACACGGCCCAAACUCCUACGGGAGGCAGCAGUGGGGAAUAUUGCACAAUGGGGGAAACCCUGAUGCAGCGACGCCGCGUGAGUGAAGAAGUAUUUCGGUAUGUAAAGCUCUAUCAGCAGGGAAGAUAAUGACGGUACCUGACUAAGAAGCCCCGGCUAACUACGUGCCAGCAGCCGCGGUAAUACGUAGGGGGCAAGCGUUAUCCGGAUUUACUGGGUGUAAAGGGUGCGCAGGUGGCAGGGCAAGUCAGAUGUGAAAGCCCGGGGCUCAACCCCGGUAUUGCAUUUGAAACUGUCCGGCUAGAGUGCAGGAGAGGUAAGCGGAAUUCCUAGUGUAGCGGUGAAAUGCGUAGAUAUUAGGAGGAACACCAGUGGCGAAGGCGGCUUACUGGACUGUAACUGACACUGAGGCACGAAAGCGUGGGGAGCAAACAGGAUUAGAUACCCUGGUAGUCCACGCCGUANACGAUGAAUACUAGGUGUCGGGGCCCA